GACGAACGCUGGCGGCGUGCUUAACACAUGCAAGUCGAACGGUGAAGGGACCGGUUUUUGCUGGUUCUGGAUGAGUGGCGAACGGGUGAGUAACACGUGAGUAACCUGCCCCCUUCUUCUGGAUAACCGCAUGAAAGUGUGGCUAAUACGGGAUAUUCUGCGCCUGCUGCAUGGUGGGUGUGGGAAAGAUAUUGUUUCGGUGGGGGAUGGGCUCGCGGCCUAUCAGCUUGUUGGUGGGGUGAUGGCCUACCAAGGCGGUGACGGGUAGCCGGCCUGAGAGGGUGGACGGUCACACUGGGACUGAGACACGGCCCAGACUCCUACGGGAGGCAGCAGUGGGGAAUAUUGCACAAUGGGCGCAAGCCUGAUGCAGCGACGCCGCGGGAGGGAUGGAGGCCUUCGGGUUGUAAACCUCUUUAGCCAGUGAAGCAGGCCUGUCCCUUUUGUGGGUGGGUUGACGGUAGCUGGAUAAGAAGCGCCGGCUAACUACGUG
rnacentral:rRNA from 1 species